rnacentral:rRNA from 1 species
AUGAAGAAGCUUGCUUCUUCUGAUUUAGCGGCGGACGGGUGAGUAACACGUGGGCAACCUACCUAGUAGAUUGGGAUAACUCCGGGAAACCGGGGCUAAUACCGAAUAAUCCAUUUUGUCACAUGGCAAAAUGCUGAAAGGCGGUUUCGGCUGUCACUACUAGAUGGGCCCGCGGUGCAUUAGCUAGUUGGUGGGGUAAUGGCCUACCAAGGCAACGAUGCAUAGCCGACCUGAGAGGGUGAUCGGCCACAUUGGGACUGAGACACGGCCCAAACUCCUACGGGAGGCAGCAGUAGGGAAUCUUCCACAAUGGACGAAAGUCUGAUGGAGCAACGCCGCGUGAGUGAUGAAGGUUUUCGGAUCGUAAAACUCUGUUGUAAGGGAAGAACAAGUACGUUAGUAACUGAACGUACCUUGACGGUACCUUAUUAGAAAGCCACGGCUAACUACGUGCCAGCAGCCGCGGUAAUACGUAGGUGGCAAGCGUUGUCCGGAUUUAUUGGGCGUAAAGCGCGCGCAGGUGGUUUCUUAAGUCUGAUGUGAAAGCCCACGGCUCAACCGUGGAGGGUCAUUGGAAACUGGGAGACUUGAGUGCAGAAGAGGAAAGUGGAAUUCCAAGUGUAGCGGUGAAAUGCGUAGAGAUUUGGAGGAACACCAGUGGCGAAGGCGACUUUCUGGUCUGUAACUGACACUGAGGCGCGAAAGCGUG